rnacentral:rRNA from 1 species
UGGGGGAUAUUGCACAAUGGGGGAAACCCUGAUGCAGCAACGCCGCGUGAAGGAAGAAGGUCUUCGGAUUGUAAACUUUUGUCCUUGGUGAAGAUAAUGACGGUAGCCAAGGAGGAAGCUCCGGCUAACUACGUGCCAGCAGCCGCGGUAAUACGUAGGGAGCGAGCGUUGUCCGGAUUUACUGGGUGUAAAGGGUGCGUAGGCGGAAGAGCAAGUCAGUAGUGAAAUCCAUGGGCUUAACCCGUGAACUGCUAUUGAAACUGUUCUUCUUGAGUGAAGUAGAGGUAGGCGGAAUUCCCGGUGUAGCGGUGAAAUGCGUAGAGAUCGGGAGGAACACCAGUGGCGAAGGCGGCCUACUGGGCUUUAACUGACGCUGAGGCACGAAAGCAUGGGUAGCAAACAGG